rnacentral:rRNA from 1 species
AUGCAAGACUAUUUCGCGGAGAAUCCUACGUAUCCUCCGCACCUCUUCCGGAGAAGGUACCGAAUGUGCCGAUCCCUCUUUGUGAAACUUGUUCAAGUUUGCGAGGCAAAUUGCCGGUAUUAUACUCAAAGAAGAAAUGCCGCGGGCUUAAAGGGAUUUAGUGCGUGUCAAAAAAUCUCCGCAUCUAUGCGGGUGAUUGCAUAUGGGGUUCCGGCUGACUAUGCCGAUGAGUAUCUUCGCAUUGGUGAAGAUACCAUAAUUAAGUUUGUGCGUAGAUUUGCAAAAGUGAUCGUCCGUGUCUUUGGUCCUGAGUAUCUUCGGGCACCCAAUGAAGAUGACACAAAGAAAUUGAUGGCAUCUAAUGAGAGGAGAGGUUGGCCUGGCAUGCUAGGUAGCAUUGAUUGUAUGCAUUGGAAUUGG